AAAAGUGAAAGACGGUCUUGCUGUCACUUAUAGAUGGAUCCGCGCUGCAUUAGCUAGUUGGUAAGGUAACGGCUUACCAAGGCAACGAUGCAUAGCCGACCUGAGAGGGUGAUCGGCCACACUGGAACUGAGACACGGUCCAGACUCCUACGGGAGGCAGCAGUAGGGAAUCUUCCGCAAUGGGCGAAAGCCUGACGGAGCAACGCCGCGUGAGUGAUGAAGGUCUUCGGAUCGUAAAACUCUGUUAUUAGGGAAGAACAUAUGUGUAAGUAACUGUGCACAUCUUGACGGUACCUAAUCAGAAAGCCACGGCUAACUACGUGCCAGCAGCCGCGGUAAUACGUAGGUGGCAAGCGUUAUCCGGAAUUAUUGGGCGUAAAGCGCGCGUAGGCGGUUUUUUAAGUCUGAUGUGAAAGCCCACGGCUCAACCGUGGAGGGUCAUUGGAAACUGGAAAACUUGAGUGCAGAAGAGGAAAGUGGAAUUCCAUGUGUAGCGGUGAAAUGCGCAGAGAUAUGGAGGAACACCAGUGGCGAAGGCGACUUUCUGGUCUGUAACUGACGCUGAUGUGCGAAAGCGUGGGGAUCAAACAGGAUUAGAUACCCUGGUAGUCCACGCCGUAAACGAUGAGUGCUAAGUGUUAGGGGGUUUCCGCCCCUUAGUGCUGCAGCUAACGCAUUAAGCACUCCGCCUGGGGAGUACGACCGCAAGGU
rnacentral:rRNA from 1 species